AUGUCAGCUCAGCUGUUUUCACGUUGCCAAAAAGUGAAUAAAGCUAAUAUCUUUAGAGAAACCAGGCUGCAGAGCGUGAGGAGGGCAGUGAAGGACACAUCACAGGAGCAGAGGGAGGACGAGGUGGUGCAUUGGCUGUAUUUGGUCACUAGAUGGCGACACCUCACUGGCAGAGGUGACCUCGAAAUUCUGGUAGCGUGUGGGACUGACAGUGACCAUCAAUGUGUUUGUUUGAAACCAUUUCCAAACCAAAACCAAUGUAACUUUCCUGCAACUUUAGUUAUAUCGAAUGAAUUUUGUUAAUGAAUGAAAUUGGUUGUAGAGUCUGAAGCAGCUACUUCUUAUCAGGGAGUCAGACUAAAAAAUGCUUUGCUGGUUCUUGUGGAGUCUAUUCCAUUUAUUAUUGUAUUGUAUAAUGUAUUAUUGUUUUGCAUUAUACAAGAGACAGAAGCUUGCUUAUGUAUUAGGGAUGGCAGGAUGUGUGUGUCUUUUGAAAAGCCGACAUAGCCUCCGAAGCACAAUGGAACAUUGAGAGGCCGUUGUCCCGUAAGUGGAAUCAUAUGUUAAGUCACCAGUUUUAGUGCAUGUUAGAAAUCAUAUGUUGUGUCAAGCGUUUCAAUGUAUUUUUAGAGUCAUAUAGCCAGAUGGCCUAAGCAAAGCAUAUAAUUCGGGGGAGACAUUCUGGGCCAGUUGAACCAGUGCAGGACCCUUCAUGGGCACUAAAUACUGACUGUUACUGUUCACACUGUGAACCUGAACAUUUAGGUCCAGAAACAGCAGCAUGUGGAGGCUCAAUAGCUUCAUGGUGCAGUCAAUGAAAUGUCGUCAGCAAAAAAUUGUAUUGUAUACUUCCUCUCCGCCCGAAGCCAUAAUAUGUAGUGUUUUUUUAGUACCAUCUGUCCCACUGGAGCCUCGCUAUCAGAGCAGAACCAAAGAGAUAAAUGUCAAAGGACGGAGAUGGAGAGAGUAACUUGACCUCAGUUUAGGGAGUCACAUAGAGGAUAGUUCCCGGGAGGCCAGUGUGAUGGAAAUGUUAUAUUAUCCCUUAAUGCUGAUCAUUUUCAUUAUUAAUGCCGUACUAAUCAUCUGAUUGUUUCUGAUUCAUGUUCAUAUUCUUAAGUGUUGGGCAUUCACAUGAAGAGCUGAGCAGGAGGGGUCCUCAGUUCUCAUUUGAGCAGGAAGCCUAGUUCUGCUUUGAUCACUCUGUGAGACAGUGUCUGACUGUCUGACUUGAUGACCCUGUGACGUGGUGUUUGACUUAGACGAGGAACAGAGUGCUUCUUGAGUGAGCAUCAACUUGUUCUUUUCACCCGGGUGCCUUUCUUUUCAUUUACCUAUUCUUUUCCUUUCUUUUUUAAUUUUUCUAUAUGCAUAUGCAGAAAUAAAUUUACAUAGACAACUUUUUGAAGUCUUCUU
rnacentral:lncRNA from 1 species